ACGGGUGAGUAACACGUGGGAACGUACCCUUCGGUUCGGAAUAACGCUGGGAAACUAGCGCUAAUACCGGAUACGCCCUUAUGGGGAAAGGUUUACUGCCGAAGGAUCGGCCCGCGUCUGAUUAGCUAGUUGGUGGGGUAACGGCCUACCAAGGCGACGAUCAGUAGCUGGUCUGAGAGGAUGAUCAGCCACACUGGGACUGAGACACGGCCCAGACUCCUACGGGAGGCAGCAGUGGGGAAUAUUGGACAAUGGGCGCAAGCCUGAUCCAGCCAUGCCGCGUGAGUGAUGAAGGCCUUAGGGUUGUAAAGCUCUUUUGUCCGGGACGAUAAUGACGGUACCGGAAAAAUAAGCCCCGGCUAACUUCGUGCCAGCAGCCGCGGUAAUACGAAGGGGGCUAGCGUUGCUCGGAAUCACUGGGCGUAAAGGGCGCGUAGGCGGCCAUUCAAGUCGGGGGUGAAAGCCUGUGGCUCAACCACAGAAUUGCCUUCGAUACUGUUUGGCUUGAGUAUGGUAGAGGUUGGUGGAACUGCGAGUGUAGAGGUGAAAUUCGUAGA
rnacentral:rRNA from 1 species